GCUGUUGCACGAAUUUGCUUUUCUUUGGUCCCGAUUUUUGAUACAGGUUAUGCGAAGGAGAUGCGGCCAUGCGAGGAGCUUUGCGUCUUUUGGUUCAUGAUGAAGAUGAUGAUUUUUUGUUGUUGCUGCGGAGGCGUGAUUCUGGGUUGGUUUCUAUUUGCAAGUGAAUUUGGGCUUGAUGAUGAAUGUAGAACGGAGAUGCUUCCAUGGUUGACGUCCUGC
rnacentral:lncRNA from 1 species